rnacentral:rRNA from 1 species
ACGGAAGGCAGCAGUGAGGAAUAUUGGUCAAUGGACGGAAGUCUGAACCAGCCAAGUCGCGUGAAGGAUGAAGGUAUUAUGUAUUGUAAACUUCUUUAGCAGUGGAGUAAUAAGGGGAUCGCGAUCCCUGAUGCAAGUACACUGAGAAUAAGGAUCGGCUAACUCCGUGCCAGCAGCCGCGGUAAUACGGAGGAUCCGAGCGUUAUCCGGAUUUAUUGGGUUUAAAGGGUGCGCAGGCGGCUUUUUAAGUCAGUGGUUAAAUCGUGACGCUCAACGUCAUCACGCCAUUGAUACUGGAGAGCUUGAUUGCGGUCGAGGUUUGCGGAAUUCGUUGUGUAGCGGUGAAAGGCAUAGAUAUGACGAAGAACACCGAUUGCGUAGGCAGCAGACCAGGCCGUAAAUGACGCUCAUGCACGAAAGUGCGGGGAUCGAACAGGAUUAGAUACCCUGGUA